UACGGAGGGAGCUAGCGUUGUUCGGAAUUACUGGGCGUAAAGCGCACGUAGGCGGCUUUGUAAGUUAGAGGUGAAAGCCCGGAGCUCAACUCCGGAACUGCCUUUAAGACUGCAUCGCUUGAAUCCAGGAGAGGUGAGUGGAAUUCCGAGUGUAGAGGUGAAAUUCGUAGAUAUUCGCAAGAACACCAGUGGCGAAGGCGGCCAACUGGUCCGGUACUGACGCUGAGGUGCGAAAGCGUGGGGAGCAAACAGG
rnacentral:rRNA from 1 species